UGAUGCCAUUUAACUGCCACCUACUCCCAGGCCAUCCAUUCAGCCAUGAAGUCUCUGCUCCUGGUCUUUGCAGCCCUCAGAUUCCUAGCCGAGCUGGCCUCAGCUGACCGGGGUGGAACAAGACUUGCACAGAACGACCUGGGAGAGUGCAGUCUGAUAUGCAGCUGGAACGAGUGGCUGACACUUCUGUAUGACAGGUUUUCCGAUAAGUUGCUAAACUGCCCAGGCAGGGCUCAAAUUUGCCUCAGCCUCCUAGAGAGCUGGGAUUGUACGCGCCCCACCACCCCGGGGCUGAUUCAGCAAAUUCCUGUAUCUUGAGAAGCAGCCCUAGGCCACGAACCGUCCUGACUCCAGGAAUGGCAGUAAAGGAAACCGGCAAAUUGCCUGCUCUCAGGCCCCUGACAUCAUAGCAGGGUAAUAAGCAUAAAAGAACUAAACGAAUGCGUAAUAUCGGACAGUAACUGCAGCUAUGAAGAAAACAGAGUGAUGCGUGCAAAGCGAUGGGGAGAGGAGAACCAAGUUAGAGACAGCAGGCAUAACAGACCUCUGUGAGAAAGCGAGCGCCUGGAGACUGCGCGCUGAGGCCGCCGCGCGGAGACCUGGAGAACCUCGUUCCAAGGCUGGGAGCAGCUAACACCCAGGCCGAGCAGGAAAUGAGCUCUGCUGUUGGAAAGAGGAGAGAUGAGGGCGGAAACUGAACUGGGGGGAGACAUGAACCCGGGCUAUCUCUCGUAGGCAGGGACCAGGCAACAGCAAUAGGCGCACAACAAAGGCCUUUGUCUGGCCACACAAAUGGCCGGGAUGGUCUUCUCUAGUUGUGGACUCUGCAAUCAAACGCCCUGCUGCCGAUUUACAAACUCGGGGUGCUUUCCCCCAGAAGCCCGCCAGUGAAGUCCUAGGCGGCUUGAGUUUAUCGACCUCUACCGCCAUCUGCCGGCGACGCGUGGCUCACUCGACGCCGUCGUUGGCUUUCCGGAGUUUGCAGUUCCUCUUGGUGUCCCAGGCGUAAGAGAUUCAGAUAGAGUACACUUUACUUCACAAGAUACCCAGAUAUGAGCCUUAGAACAGGGGAUCCCAUGGCACUUCCACUUACCCAAUAUCAGCCCCACUCACUAAGCCCCAAGAUAGACAUUUCAAACACUUCUACUACAAAUUAAAAUUAAACUGGGCACGGUGGUGCAGGCCUGUGAUCCCAGCACUCAAGAGGUUGAGACAGGAGAAAUGAGUUUGAGGCCAGCCUGAGCUACAUAGUGAGUUCAACCUGAACUACAUAGCGAGAUCUUGUCUCAAAAAAUAAAAAUAAAUAUUUAAGAAUAAAAAUUUAAAAUGCCUGCCAUAUCAGCGUGCCUGCCCACAAUCGUGAUUAUACUGAAGUCUGCACUUUUGGCAACCUCUGAAUCCUAAAUGCU
ensembl:lncRNA